UGCAAGGGGAUUGCAAACACAAAGCUCGGGGUUUAAUAGAAACGCUUAGCCAAUUUUACACAGUAAACACCGCUGAGCAUAACACAUUGGCCGUUUUCAAAACCAGCGAAUAUUUAGUGCACAGUGUGCUAUCAAUAGCCUACUUAUGAAUUCAACGACAAAGGAAAGUAACGCAGGAAAUAAAGUAAUGCGAUAGGUCGUGUAAAUGUAGUAUAAAGCGAUAUAUAUGUGCUAUAUGUGUUGCUAUAAAUAUGUUACGUUAUAUAUGUUGCUAUAAAUAUAUGUUAAGUUGGUCCUUUUGCCGUUUUGAAGACUAAUGCCCCACCCCUGUGUAUGACUCAAUACCAAUGUUGGUGUUGCACAUCAAGUGUUUGUCAGCGCGACGUGCAGGUCUCCUCUAGGGAUCUCAACAAUGCCUCAAAGUGUGUUCAGAUGUGCAGAGAUACAAAAGUCAGACAUUUUGAUGACCUACAGUAAGCAGGUUGCAGCGACAAAGCCUGUAACCUGAGGCAGGGUGCACCAGGCAGUCAGCAGGAUGCCUCCACAGCGCUCAUGGUUUCAAGUUGAGUCAGAGGUUUCAUGCGUGUGUGUGUGGGUGGAAAGAGGUUUCCUGGGCUGUUCCACCAUCAGAGGCCUGAGUGGGAGACCAACCACUCCUUAAAAUGGAAACGUUUUUGCUGCAUGUUGCGUUUUAUCGUUUAAUCUUGCACCUCGAGACACCAGAUGCAACUGUUCGAAAUGCACUAAAUAGAUGGAUGGAUGUUCAGGGGAUUUCUUUGAUUUAAAUCCUUUGGUUUGACAGCCACGGUUGAGUCAUAACAUUUUAAUAUAUCACCAUCUGAAAGUUAAAACUGUAGCACAGCUUCUUGGCGUGUUGACAGAGAAGGAAUUGUUAGAAUGAAUAUGACUCUAUUUCCAAGAAAUCUCCUUCCUGUCUGUGUCUACACAGAUGUCACACAUUCUGGAUUGAGACAUAUUGUCACCAUGGGAACAAGCAAUGUCCUCACAAAGGCUCUGUCUCAUCUUGAUGGACACUAAUGGUGGUUUACCGCCAUGGAAGCGCUGGUCCGAAGUGAUCAGGAAGUCACGAAUAUCCUCCCUCCGGUUUCCACCAGCUGAUGACAGCCUUUGGGCAAAAAGGGCACAUUUGUUCUCUUUAUAUCUCAGUUGGUUUUAAUGAAAGACAUGCUGACCUAUUCGUAUUGGCCCUGCGUCAGUUUUUCUCACACACAGACACAA